UACUGCACCAUUCUGGCCAUUGCUGU
rnacentral:piRNA from 1 species